rnacentral:rRNA from 1 species
CAGUCGCCACGGGAAUACGAAGGGGGCUAGCGUUAAUCGGAAUUACUGGGCGUAAAGCGUGCGUAGGCGGUGAGUUAAGUCUGCUGUGAAAUCCCCGGGCUCAACCUGGGAAUGGCAGUGGAUACUGGCUCGCUAGAGUGUGUCAGAGGAUGGUGGAAUUCCCGGUGUAGCGGUGAAAUGCGUAGAGAUCGGGAGGAACAUCAGUGGCGAAGGCGGCCAUCUGGGACAACACUGACGCUGAGGCACGAAAGCGUGGGGAGCAAACAGGAUUAGAUACCCCCGUAGUCCCUGUCUCUUAUAC